CAGGUGGUGCAUGGUUGUCGUCAGCUCGUGUCGUGAGAUGUUGGGUUAAGUCCCGCAACGAGCGCAACCCUUGAUCUUAGUUGCCAGCAUUCAGUUGGGCACUCUAAGGUGACUGCCGGUGACAAACCGGAGGAAGGUGGGGAUGACGUCAAAUCAUCAUGCCCCUUAUGACCUGGGCUACACACGUGCUACAAUGGACAGAACAAAGGGCAGCGAAACCGCGAGGUUAAGCCAAUCCCACAAAUCUGUUCUCAGUUCGGAUCGCAGUCUGCAACUCGACUGCGUGAAGCUGGAAUCGCUAGUAAUCGCGGAUCAGCAUGCCGCGGUGAAUACGUUCCCGGGCCUUGUACACACCGCCCGUCACACCACGAGAGUUUGUAACACCCGAAGUCGGUGAGGUAACCUUUUAGGAGCCAGCCGCAGAAGGUGGAC
rnacentral:rRNA from 1 species